UACGAAGGGGGCUAGCGUUGCUCGGAAUCACUGGGCGUAAAGGGUGCGUAGGCGGGUCUUUAAGUCAGGGGUGAAAUCCUGGAGCUCAACUCCAGAACUGCCUUUGAUACUGAAGAUCUUGAGUUCGGGAGAGGUGAGUGGAACUGCGAGUGUAGAGGUGAAAUUCGCAGAUAUCAGGAAGAACACCCGUGGCGAAGGCGGCUCUCUGGAACGCAACUGACGCUGAGACGCGAAAGCGUGGGGAGCAAACAGG
rnacentral:rRNA from 1 species